UUACCAUCUUUACACCAAUCAAAUGAUUGGAUGGAUGUAGAAAGUGAAAGUAGAAUAACUGAUGUGUCUCCUCCUUCAGAAAAUGAUAACAGGUUGAGAUAUUGGUAUAUAACAGAGGAUGAUCAACAAGUAUUACGUAAAGAUAAAGCAGCAGUUAAUAUUGAUGAUAAUUUUGGACUGGGUUUUCUGAUUAAAGUUGAUUAUACCAAAUUAAUUAUGUCUGGUAAAAAAUAUUCAUUAGAUUUAACCAGACCAUUAGGAGAUGCUGUCUAUGCUUAUAUUGCUGAUAGUGAUGCUGAUGAAACAGCCUGUCCUCUUGAUGUUAUAAAAAUAAAACCAGCAA